AUGAAACAAUCAUAUACUUUAGAUUUCAGCUGUAUGAUGAUCAUUCAUCACAUAACAUGUUAUUGUCUCAUAGAGCCUGAAGUUGCAAUUAAAAAGGCACCUGAACCAAAACCGAAACCCACAGAGAAAGUUGAGGUUCCAAAGGAAAAGGAAAAACCAGUUUCUGAAAAGAAAGCAGAACCUGAAAUAACCAAAGAAAAACCCAAACCUGUGCCAAAGAAGGAGGCUGAAGUCAUCAAAGAGAAAGUUAAACCAGCUCCUGAGAAGAAAGGUUUGAUUUGCUGUAUUAAGAAUUAA
rnacentral:lncRNA from 1 species